GUGCUCGCUUCAGCAGCACUUAUACUAAAAUUGGAACGAUACAGAGAAGAUUAGCAUGGCCCUUGCGCAAGAUUCUUUUUUAAGAACAAAGUUCACACCUGUCU